rnacentral:tRNA from 1 species
AGUUUUAUAGUUUAAUAAAAUAUUAAAUUGCAAAUUUAAAGAUAGAAAUUCGAUUCUUAAGACUU